rnacentral:rRNA from 1 species
GACGAACGCUGGCGGCGUGCCUAAUACAUGCAAGUAGAACGCUGAAGGAGGAGCUUGCUUCUCUGGAUGAGUUGCGAACGGGUGAGUAACGCGUAGGUAACCUGCCUGGUAGCGGGGGAUAACUAUUGGAAACGAUAGCUAAUACCGCAUAAUAGUAGAUGUUGCAUGACAUUUGCUUAAAAGGUGCAAUUGCAUCACUACCAGAUGGACCUGCGUUGUAUUAGCUAGUUGGUGAGGUAACGGCUCACCAAGGCAACGAUACAUAGCCGACCUGAGAGGGUGAUCGGCCAAACUGGGACUGAGACACGGCCCAGACUCCUACGGGAGGCAGCAGUAGGGAAUCUUCGGCAAUGGACGGAAGUCUGACCGAGCAACGCCGCGGGAGUGAAGAAGGUUUUCGGAUCGUAAAGCUCUGUUGUAAGAGAAGAACGAGUGUGAGAGUGGAAAGUUCACACUGUGACGGUAUCUUACCAGAAAGGGACGGCUAACUACGUG